rnacentral:rRNA from 1 species
ACGCCCUUAGAGUUUGAUCCUGGCUCAGGAUGAACGCUAGCUACAGGCUUAACACAUGCAAGUCGAGGGGAAACGAUAUUGGAAGCUUGCUUCCGAUAGGCGUCGACCGGCGCACGGGUGAGUAACGCGUAUCCAACCUGCCCACCACUUGGGGAUAACCUUGCGAAAGUAAGACUAAUACCCAAUGAUAUCUCUAGAAGACAUCUGAAAGGGAUUAAAGAUUCAUCGGUGAUGGAUGGGGAUGCGUCUGAUUAGCUUGUUGGCGGGGUAACGGCCCACCAAGGCUACGAUCAGUAGGGGUUCUGAGAGGAAGGUCCCCCACAUUGGAACUGAGACACGGUCCAAACUCCUACGGGAGGCAGCAGUGAGGAAUAUUGGUCAAUGGGCGAGAGCCUGAACCAGCCAAGUAGCGUGCAGGAUGACGGCCCUAUGGGUUGUAAACUGCUUUUAUAAGGGAAUAAAGUGGGAGUCGUGACUCUUUUUGCAUGUACCUUAUGAAUAAGGACCGGCUAAUUCCGUGCCAGCAGCCGCGGUAAUACGGAAGGUCCGGGCGUUAUCCGGAUUUAUUGGGUUUAAAGGGAGCGUAGGCCGGAGAUUAAGCGUGUUGUGAAAUGUAGAUGCUCAACAUCUGCACUGCAGCGCGAACUGGUUUCCUUGAGUACGCACAAAGUGGGCGGAAUUCGUGGUGUAGCGGUGAAAUGCUUAGAUAUCACGAAGAACUCCGAUUGCGAAGGCAGCUCACUGGAGCGCAACUGACGCUGAAGCUCGAAAGUGCGGGUAUCGAACAGGAUUAGAUACCCUGGUAGUCCGCACGGUAAACGAUGGAUGCCCGCUGUUGGUCUGAAUAGGUCAGCGGCCAAGCGAAAGCAUUAAGCAUCCCACCUGGGGAGUACGCCGGCAACGGUGAAACUCAAAGGAAUUGACGG